rnacentral:rRNA from 1 species
AUGGUUGCAAAAUUUGACUUGAUAAUGCAAGAGCAUCUUAGACGUAUUCAAAACUAAGAGAUUCAUUACCAUUAUCUUAGCCAUAAAAUUCAAAAUGAGUUGAUUUCUCUCAUGGUUGUUGGCAUUACAAAUUGUAUCAUCAAGAUUGUCAAAGUGGCAAAAUAUUUCUCUAUUACCCUAGAUUGUACCCCAGAUAUGAGUCACCAAAAACAUAUGAGUAUGUUGGUUUGAUAUGUUCAUUGGUCUGAUGGAAAAUAAAAAUAGAGAAAUAAUUGUUCUUUUUUUAUAGUGGAUGACUCUUUUGGUUUGGUACUUUUCAAGGUUAUGGUUAAUCCUAUCAAGUCUUUCGGCCUAAAUAUUGAUGACAUUACGGGCCAAGGCUAUGCCAAUGGUUCCAAUAUGAAAGGAAAAUACAGGGGAGUGCAAAGUCGGUUAUUUGAGAUAAUUCCACGAGCUCUGUAUAUGGCAUGUGCUCGCCAAAGUUAA